CAGUCGCCGCGGGAAUACAGAGGAUGCAAGCGUUAUCCGGAAUGAUUGGGCGUAAAGGGCUCGCAGGCGGUUUCUUAAGUCUGAUGUGAAAGCCCCCGGCUCAACCGGGGAGGGUCAUUGGAAACUGGGAAACUUGAGUGCAGAAGAGGAGAGUGGAAUUCCACGUGUAGCGGUGAAAUGCGUAGAGAUGUGGAGGAACACCAGUGGCGAAGGCGACUCUCUGGUCUGUAACUGACGCUGAGGAGCGAAAGCGUGGGGAGCGAACAGGAUUAGAUACCCGAGUAGUCCCUGUCUCUUAUAC
rnacentral:rRNA from 1 species